CGUUUUUAUUUAACUUUGGGAUUACAUCAAACUAGGAUAGGAUUCUAAUCAUCGCAUUGUUGCAUCGCCUACCUGCCUGAGAAUCUCCCAUGCAGCGCUUCAUGUGUGUGCUCCCGUUUUAGAUGGUCAGUUAUUCGCAUUUAUCAAUUCACGUUUAUACAACAAUUGUCAUCAUUACCUCAAUUACUCAGUCUGCAUGAGUCUGUCUUCAAGCGCUUAUGUUUACACAAGAAGAGUGCACCAGCGCGUAGACUUCUCUCGCCAGCCAUAGCUGACUACAAAAAUAACGGAAAUAGAAGAACCUUUGUGUCCAUCAGCCAUGUGUUCCAUGCAAAUUGCUUUGUGCAUUUUCGGUGUUGUGCUGGGUGGGAGUUGGGCAGGGACCACUUCGUCCUACCAACACCGAACUACCUCGUUGGACGAAUUAAAAGAAAUUGAUUCAUAUGUGGCUACAGGACUGCCAUUGUUUGAUCAUGGAUUCUUUGUGAGCACAGCCCAAGGCCCGAUACUUGUAAAGGCGAAGGAAGAUGGAAUAAAGCAGAACAAGCCCAAGAUUAAUCCAGGGUAUUACAGUACACUUCCGCGACUUAUCCCAUCUGGAUACGAAGGGAUUUCAAUUUCACAUUUCAACUUGGGGUCAGCCUUUCCUGCCCAAUCACCGUCAAUAUUCCCCCACCCACCUUCACUGGACUUUUAUGAAGGUCCCUCGCACCAAUUUGCUCCACAAGGUCACUUUGGCUCACCAUUUGCUUCCCAUCUGCCAAGACAGCCUUCUCCGGCACCCUAUGCUUUUGAGCCAAGAAGAUCACAAACCCAAUCUGGACACUUCAUCCAGCACCACAAUCCCCAACGGCGUCUAGACCGAUUCAUCGACCGUCAAAAUCAGCGACAGCCACAUUCGUCCUCCCAAGUCGCCGAAGAUACAUUUCAAGUUGAUAAUUUCAUAAAUGCCGAAGAUGAUCAUGUGCCAACGUCGUAUCAAAAUACUAUGAUUGCACAUGAGUCGAUUGAUUCCAACAAGUUUGUCAGAAACCCCACUGUUAUACAAGCGUUUGGAUUUGAUGACGACCUGCCAGAAAAUUUAAAGAAAUCCGUUUCAUUUUACAAGAACCAAGGAGUUGCAACAGCCUUGGCCCAGGAAAGUCUGCCAAUUGAAGGCGAGACCGUCGUGGGUCAAUGGGACACUACAAAGAUACAGAAAAAACGAAUAAGCGACUUAUUACGUGCUGCAGGUUUCCUUCGAUAAUUAUGUAUGUACAUUACACUUCUGGACCAUUAUUGCUAAAUACGACCAUAAUCCAUGCAAUAGUUUGAUUGACAGUGAGCUUGCUCAUUCCCAAAUAAGCCUAAAUUUAAAUCGAUGUUGGUUUUUUUUUUUACCAGACAAUAGCCAAAGUAAAUGAUACCAGAUAAGGGAAGAGAGAGAACAGCAAAAACCGUGUACACAAUAAUUAUUGAAGGACGAAAAAGUUAUAUUUCAAAUAAUAUUAACAUUAGACGUACUUAGAUAGAUUAAAGUUAUUGUGAAUAUUUAUGGCCAUAAAAAUGUGAUAU